UACGUAGGGAGCGAGCGUUGUCCGGAAUUACUGGGUGUAAAGGGAGCGUAGGCGGGAUCGCAAGUCAGAUGUGAAAACUAUGGGCUUAACCCAUAAACUGCAUUUGAAACUGUGGUUCUUGAGUGAAGUAGAGGUAAGCGGAAUUCCUAGUGUAGCGGUGAAAUGCGUAGAUAUUAGGAGGAACAUCAGUGGCGAAGGCGGCUUACUGGGCUUUAACUGACGCUGAGGCUCGAAAGCGUGGGGAGCAAACAGGAUUAGAUACCUAGUCCGGCUGACUGACU
rnacentral:rRNA from 1 species